GGAGAACUGAACUGCUGGCACAAAAAGCAAGAUCUAGAGUCCCAGGGAUUGCGUCCCCUAACUUCUCGCCAAAAAAGAAAAAAGAGAAAAAGGAAAAAGGAAAAACAAAGAAGUUGAAGAAUCUGACCGGAAGUUACGUCCGCAUGAAAUCACUGAUGACGUCAUAGUGUCUCGACUGGACGGUAAAAUGUUAAAAGAGAUGUGUCAGGAGCCUGAUAUGAAGUUGUUAGAGUCUGAAAUUGAGAUCUGUAAAGCAAAGUUCAAGGAUGUUCAAAACAGGGUCGAACAAA
rnacentral:sRNA from 1 species